GGUUUAGUAUUUUCUUAUUUUGAGCUUAUCAUGACUAUUACUGACAAUUGAGAAUUUAAUAGAAGUUUUGAGAAUUUUUGUUCCUUUUAUCUUUAGGUGUUAAUGUUAUUAGUCCUACAUCAAUUUUAUAUCAAAGCGAGCUAGACCAAGAUUUCUCAAUCCCUCCCUUGACCGUGUCCAUGUAGCUGUUUUACAUUCACCAAACAAAUUCAGUUGAUUACAUUUUGUUGAUUUCUCGGAAUCCAAUAGCAUGAUUU
rnacentral:misc_RNA from 1 species